rnacentral:rRNA from 1 species
GACGAACGCUGGCGGCGUGCUUAACACAUGCAAGUCGAACGGAAAGGCCCUGCUUUUGUGGGGUGCUCGAGUGGCGAACGGGUGAGUAACACGUGAGUAACCUGCCCUUGACUUUAGGAUAACUUCAGGAAACUGGGGCUAAUACCGGAUAGGAGCUCCUGCUGCAUGGUGGGGGUUGGAAAGUUUCGGCGGUUGGGGAUGGACUCGCGGCUUAUCAGCUUGUUGGUGGGGUAGUGGCUUACCAAGGCUUUGACGGGUAGCCGGCCUGAGAGGGUGACCGGCCACAUUGGGACUGAGAUACGGCCCAGACUCCUACGGGAGGCAGCAGUGGGGAAUAUUGCACAAUGGGCGGAAGCCUGAUGCAGCAACGCCGCGUGCGGGAUGACGGCCUUCGGGUUGUAAACCGCUUUCGCCUGUGACGAAGCGUGAGUGACGGUAAUGGGUAAAGAAGCACCGGCUAACUACGU